AUCUGCAGCCAUAUCAUGCUGUAGCCCAAGACUGGUUGCACACUGAAGCUAAGCAGGGUUGAGCCUGGUCAGUACCUGGAUGGGAGACCUCCUGGGAAAACUAGGUUGCUGCUGGAA
ensembl:rRNA 5S_rRNA 5S ribosomal RNA